rnacentral:rRNA from 1 species
AGAGUUUGAUCAUGGCUCAGGACGAACGCUGGCGGCGUGCCUAACACAUGCAAGUCGAACGCGACUUGGGCUUCGGCCUAAGUUGAGUGGCGAACGGGUGAGUAACACGUGGGUGACCUACCUUCGAGUGGGGGAUAACGUCCCGAAAGGGACGCUAAUACCGCAUAACAUCCUGCCUUUGAACAGGUGGAGAUCAAAGCCGGGGAUCGCAAGACCUGGCGCUUGAUGAGGGGCCCGCGUCUGAUUAGCUAGUUGGUGGGGUAAUGGCUCACCGAGGCGACGAUCAAUAUCCGGCCUGAGAGGGCGGACGGACACACUGGGACUGAGACACGGCCCAGACUCCUACGGGAGGCAGCAGUGGGGAAUUGUUCGCAAUGGGCGCAAGCCUGACGACGCAACGCCGCGUGGAGGAUGAAGGUCUUCGGAUUGUAAACUCCUGUUGCUCGGGACGAAAAGCUUCGACCUAACACGUCGAGGUCUGACGGUACCGAGUGAGGAAGCCCCGGCUAACUCUGUGCCAGCAGCCGCGGUAAUAC